rnacentral:rRNA from 1 species
AAACCAACAGGGAUUGCCCCAGUAGCGGCGAGUGAAGCGGCAAGAGCUCAGAUUUGGAAUCGUGUUUCGGCACGAGUUGUAAAUUGCAGGUUGGAGUCUUUGUGGAAGCGUGUGUCCAAGUCCCUUGGAACAGGGCGCCAUUGAGGGUGAGAGCCCCGUGGGAUGCGCGCGGAAGCAGCAAGGCCCUUCUGACGAGUCGAGUUGUUUGGGAAUGCAGCUCUAAGCGGGUGGUAAAUUCCAUCUAAGGCUAAAUACUGGCGAGAGACCGAUAGCGAACAAGUACUGUGAAGGAAAGAUGAAAAGCACUUUGAAAAGAGAGUGAAACAGCACGUGAAAUUGUUGAAAGGGAAGGGUAUUGGGCCCGACAUGGGGAUUGCGCAUCUCUGCUCCUUGUGGGCGGGGCGCUGUGCUUUUCCUGGGCCAGCAUCGGUUUUUGCCGCAGGAGAAGGGGUACUGGAAUGUGGCUCCUCGGAGUGUUAUAGCCAGUGCCAGAUGCUGCGUGCGGGGACCGAGGGCUGCGACAUC